GCCGGGCGCUGUGGCGGGCGCCUGUGGUCCCAGCUACUUGGGAGGCGGAGGCAGGAGACUCGCUUGAGCCCAGGAGUUGGAGGUUGCUGUGAGCUGUAAUGCCAUGGCACUCUACCCAGGGGGACAGCUUGAGGCUCUGUCUCAAAAAAAAAAAAAAAAACCACUGAAAGUGCCAUUGUGUCAGCUUAGUUCACAGCAACUUCACACUCCUGGGUUCAGGUGAUCCUGCCU
rnacentral:sRNA from 1 species